CCCAGACCUCUGUCCUGAAUUGCCCUCUGGUUUGCUGUCUAUAUGCUUGUUACUGACCCACUGCCUGUCCGUGUCACAAAAUGGGUGUGAUCGCGAAACAUAACCCAGAUGCAGAACAGCGUGUAAAAACAUUAACAAAAAUAGUGAACACAAAACCCACGAGGGGUUAAAAAUAACAGGAGCAACAGAACAACACAAAUUUAAUUUACUUGCUUGUUGUGUCAGUGUCAAUCAUCAUGUGCGUUAGCUUUAAACUGUGCAAAGAUUAAAAAUGAAAAGGCGGCACUAUCAGUCUGGUGCAAAGAAGAGGAAGAAGAGGAAAGAAGAUGAGAAAAGAAAGGAUCAAGAAAAGGGGGCACUUUUGAAGUAUUUUCUAAAGAAUAAACUUAAAGCUGGUGAAAAUGCAGCAGCUGCCUCCUCCUCACAUGACAGUCUUGGCCCUGUCUCAGCCUACAUUGGCCUUGCUUCCGGCUUAUCCGUUGCCUCCACCACAUCCUCCAGUGUCCUUAGAAUUUUUAUUUAAAAGAUUAAUUUACUAAUUUACAAAUACAGUAAAACUAACUGUAGUGUAUGUUAUUACUUUUGAUGUUCUGCUUGUAACCUCCUCCUUUUCAAUAAAC